UACGAAGGGUGCGAGCGUUGUUCGGAAUUACUGGGCGUAAAGGGCGCGCAGGCGGCUCUGCAAGUCAGCUGUGAAAGCCCCGGGCUUAACCUGGGAAUUGCAUUUGAUACUCUGGAGCUUGGGUGUGGGAGAGGAGAGUGGAAUUCCCAGUGUAGAGGUGAAAUUCGUAGAUAUUGGGAAGAACACCGGCGGCGAAGGCGGCUCGCUGGACCGCAACUGACGCUGAGGCGCGAAAGCGUGGGGAGCAAACAGG
rnacentral:rRNA from 1 species